GAACCUUACCAGGUCUUGACAUCCUUUGAAGCUUUUAGAGAUAGAAGUGUUCUCUUCGGAGACAAAGUGACAGGUGGUGCAUGGUCGUCGUCAGCUCGUGUCGUGAGAUGUUGGGUUAAGUCCCGCAACGAGCGCAACCCUUAUUGUUAGUUGCCAGCAUUCAGAUGGGCACUCUAGCGAGACUGCCGGUGACAAACCGGAGGAAGGCGGGGACGACGUCAGAUCAUCAUGCCCCUUAUGACCUGGGCUACACACGUGCUACAAUGGCGUAUACAACGAGUUGCCAGCCCGCGAGGGUGAGCUAAUCUCUUAAAGUACGUCUCAGUUCGGAUUGUAGUCUGCAACUCGACUACAUGAAGUCGGAAUCGCUAGUAAUCGCGGAUCAGCACGCCGCGGUGAAUACGUUCCCGGGUCUUGUACACACCGCCU
rnacentral:rRNA from 1 species